rnacentral:misc_RNA from 1 species
UUUCCGUAGGUGAACCUGCGGAAGGAUCAUUAGUGAAUUUUAGGGUGCUCUUUGCUUUAACACGCAAGAGGCCUGACCUCCACUUUUUCUACACUUGUGCACCUUUCAGCAAUGCGGACUAUCAUUUGUCAACGACAUCUGUAAUCCAAUUUGCCGUUUUCAUUUAUACACUAGUAAAAGAAUGUAAAACAAAUCAUAACAAAAAAAACUUUCAACAACGGAUCUCUUGGUUCGGGCAUCGAUGAAGAACGCAGC